UACGGAGGGUGCAAGCGUUAUCCGGAAUCACUGGGUUUAAAGGGUGCGUAGGCGGCCCGGUCAGUCAGUUGUGAAAUUCCUCGGCUCAACCGAUGGGACUGCGAUUGAUACUGCCGGGCUUGAAUCAGGUUGAGGUAGGCGGAAUGUGGCAUGUAGCGGUGAAAUGCUUAGAUAUGCCAUAGAACACCGAUUGCGAAGGCAGCUUGCUGGGCCUUUGAUUGACGCUGAGGCACGAAAGCGUGGGGAGCAAACAGG
rnacentral:rRNA from 1 species